UUUUGCUGAUGACUGCAGCUCUGGGGAAUCUUUUUGCUGAUAUGUAGGAUUUUUAGGGGCUAUUAUUAGGUUAUUUAAAUGAAACUGCCGUUGACAUGAAAAGCUUAACACGAAAUAUCAGGGUGACUUCCUUGUGUUGCCAGAAAUACACACUCUGAUAAGGCUCACCUGUAAAAGCCAACCAGAAUUAAUGCAUUGGUAGGGUAGUGCUAACACUAUAAAUUAAAGUAACUCCUGUUAGUUAAGAGAAAGAGGAACCUCCCAUCAAGUUCCCCACCUUUCCCAGCCAAGAGGAUAGCACCUGGCCUUGUUCAGUUUGGGUUCAUUUAUGAAUGAAUACAUUAAUCACCAGUGACAGAUGCACGACCACUUACAGCUCGUUACUUUUCACUGUGUUUGCAAAUGUAAAUGUUCCUUAGCCAAGCUUCCCAUCAUCCUUGCCUUUGCUCUGCCUGGUCAUCUUGAUUCCAAAAAGCAAAAACCUGUAUCCAGCAGUGGGGAGGAGCUGCCAAGCUGCUGCUCUGAGUAUUCUCCAUAAGUCUGCAACUUACAGGAUCCUCUCAGUGUCUCGAAAUCUGAAUGGUUGCAGUAGGCAUGGCAGGGUCUUCAGCUCUUGUCCCCAUCCCUUUGCUGCUAAAGAUUCACAAACAGGAUUUUCAGAAGCAGCUCAGUGACUUAAAAGCAUCUGUUUUUAUUCGGUGUCAGUGGUAAAUGUGCUCCCACAACAGUUAGGCCCUCUGUUCUCCAGUCGUAAGGCACUCCAUAAGCAUCUUUAGAUCACUUCCUGCCUCAAUUAGCAGUAAUUAACAAGAACACGUAUGUCCCUGCAUUUCAGAAGUGGCUAAAAAUUACAUUGCCCGGAGGAGGCAGCUGCAGCAUCAACACAAUUCAUCCUCUUUUUGUCCGUGAAACUGUUAGGAUCUCUCCAAGCCUGUAAUCAGUCAUCCAUUUCUCCCCUUGAUAUGACACCUGAGAUUCAAUAUACCACUUCCUCUUGUUCCUACUUGCUCACCCCAGUAACUGUGUUAACACAAUUCCAGGAUGUGGGCACAUAAAGACUUGAGUGCCCAUUUCAUGGCUCUUCCCUGAUGUGACGUGACAUCCCUACAGAUGUGGGGAUGCAGCACUCAAGCAAGAAGGAAGGGGGGAAUGCCAAGCAUGAUGCAGUAGCAAAGGUAUCUAUGGUAUGAGAUGAGUGAGAUUCCUUUUCCACUUCCUUUCUUUGCUUUCUUGUUGGCUUGUUUGUUUGCAGAGGGAGUCAACAGUGGGAUGUCAUCACAUGACUCAGAACUGGAGCCCCCAGUACAGGCAAACAGCACUUGGCCUUUCACCUGGUUCUGCUCCAGACCAGCCUGGCCUGUGAGCUUUGCUGGGGAGUCAAGAGAUGGGAACCAGAGGUUUCCUUUUUGAAAAGGCAUUGGAGAAGACACAAUGUAGCUCAUUCCUAGCUCUUCCAAGAAGAAAAAUCAGCUGAUCAUACAGCCACAGAAUUGUUUGAGUCAGAAGGGACCUUUCAGGAUCAUCUAGUCCAACCACCCUGCCAUAAACAGAUUGCUCAGAACCCCAUCCAACCAACCUGGCCUUGGACACUUCAGUGAUGGGGCAUCUACAGCUUCUCCGGGCAACCUGUUCCAGUACCUCACCACUCUCAUAGUAAAGAAUUUCCUCCUUUUAUUUAAUCUAAAUCUACCCACUUAGUUUAAAAUCUUUGUCCUUUGUCCUGUUACUACAGGCCCUGGUAAAAAGUCUCUCUCCUUUUUUUUAAGAUCCCCUUUAAGUACUGAAAGGCUGCAAUAAGGUCUCUCUAGAACCAUCUCUUCUCCAGGAUGAACAGACACAACUCUCUCAGCUUUUCUUCAUAAGAGAAGUGUUCCAGCCUUCUGAUCAUUUUUGUGGCCCUCCUUUGGACUUGCUCCAAGAAGGCCAUGUCUUGUGCUGGGGGCUCCAGAGCUGAAUGCUGUACUCCAGGUGGGGUCUCACAGGAGCAGAGUAGAGUGGGAGAGUCACCUCCCUUGACCUGCUGGUCACACUUCAGAUGCAGCCGAGGAUAUGGUUGGAUUUCUGAGCUGUACAUGCACAUUGCUGGGUCACAUCCAGUUUUUCAUCCACCAGUACUCCCAAGUCCCUCCUUUCCAGGAUGCUCUGAACCCGUUCAUCCCCGACCUGUACUGAUAUUGAGGAUUGCCCCAACCCCAUUUGUAGGAUUUUGCACUUGACCUUGUUGAAUUUCACGAGGUUCACAUGGGCCCACUCUUUCUGUGUGGCAUCCCUAACCCUCCUGAAUCAAGUGCACCCUCAGCCUGGUGGCAAUUGCAAAAUUUCGGGGGGGGCUCAGUUUCACUGUCUGUGUCAUUAUGAAAGAUAUUGAACAGGUCCCAGUAAGGAUCCCCAAGGGGCACCACUUGUUGACAGUCCCCAUUUGGAUGCCAAGCCAUUGCCUGUGACUGAAUCCCAUCCAGCCACUUCCUUAUCCAUCGAACAGUCCAGCCAUCAAAUCAAUCUCUCUCCAAAUUAGAGGUAAGAAUGUUGUGUGGGACCAUGUCAAAGUCAUUACAGAAGUCCAGGUAGUUGACAGGUAGCUUGCUUCUGGUGAAGUUCAAAUGGCUCAUCCUGCACUGCUAUUCCUAAGGACAUCAGAGGUCAUACCAGCAUUUCAGUUUGUGCCUGGCAGGAUCCCACUUGCCUGGGGGCUCCCUGCAGGCAGAGGUCCAGCCUCACUGGGAAACUGGCUGUUUCCUGCCACUGGGAAAUGUCAGAGGGCCAGCCCACAGCAGAGAAGGAGUUAAGUGCUUGACCAGCUGCUGUCUGUGAGGCACUGAAUUCCUUCCCCGUGCAAUGCAGCAGCCAGUGUCAGGACAGCUAUAUUUAGAGAGCUGAUAAAGGUUUGGUGCCAACAGUUGUCCUGCCCCUCGAUGAAGAAGCUGCAGAGAAAGCGAGAGGGGGCAGCUGAUUGCUUUCUUCCCAGUUCCAUUCUCUACUGACUUCAGUGGACUCUUGCCGUGCCUCCAGCAGGGACCCUCAGUGGAGCUGUCCAGGCGCAGGGGGUAAGUUCCCUUUCCUUGCUCACCUGCCCUGUGGGUGGUAGCCGCUCCUCAGCCCCACUGGUGACACAUGGCUGUGAUCCUCCUUCCUGAGGCUGGUGCUGGGGCCCUGUGGAGCUGCCUCACUUGUGGCACACUGAGGUGGGAGUGUGUUGAGGACAUGGGGAAGUGUUUACUGUGGUGUUUUCAUACUCCUGCCUGAACUACAUCCCCCUCGCUCUCCCGCACCCAGGGCGAGCUCGGCAGCCUCCACACAAAGGAGCGCAAGGACAAAGUCCCGAGCCUUAAAGCACUUCAGCCUUAAGCUUGAGGAGCGUUUCAUUCUGGGGAGGUCUCAUGUUUCUUUGCCCCUGACACUCCUUCUAGCCCGGCUCUGGCUCUGUACAGCUCCUUCCAGCCACCAUGUGCGGUCAGGGGAGGAUAGAGUUUCUGCCCCUCCACCCCUUCCUUCCUGGCCUUCCUGCACCCUUACUCACAGGCAAGAAGGGCACUGGUGCUCGCUGGGCAGCAGCCAGGGAGCUGCGUGAGGCCCUGGAAAUGGCAGGCACCCCGAUGGAGGAGCCAGUGUAGCUGCCUUGUGACCAGGGCUCCUCACAGGAGCAAAAUGUGGGAGCCCCUUCUGCUGUACCCCCCAUCCCUGCUGCCCGCCCCACCGUAAUGGUUCUCCCUCCUGCCCUGCUCCCCGUGCAGAGGAUCCUCUGGCAGCCGCCAUGGCCAGCGGCAGGGACUCGGACAGCGAGCCAGCGGUGCCGGAGGAGGAGGAGGACGAGGGCCCGGACGUGAAGGCCGUGCAGGCCCAUUACCUGCGCAGCCCCUCGCCCAGCCGGUAUUCCAUGAUAUCAGACACUGAUACAGAGAGCAUCUUCAUGGAGCCAAUCCAUCUGUCAUCUGCUGUGGCUGCCAAACAAAUAAUCAAUGAAGAACUGAAGACAAAGGAGGUCAGGGUAGAUUCAGUGUGUCCCAGGAUGCUGGAGUCUGCGCAGCAGCUGAUGGUGGAAGACCUGUACAACCGAGUUAAGGAAAAGAUUGAUGACACCAGCUUGUUUAACACACCGUGUGUGAUGGACUUGCAGAGGGCACUCAUGAAGGACAGGCUGGAGACCCCCAGGGAUGCUGUGGAUGAAGUCUGGCCUAAUGUCUUCAUAGCAGAAAAAAGCGUUGCGGUGAACAAAAGCCGUUUGAAGAGGCUGGGCAUCACACACGUCUUGAACGCAGCUCACGGUACAGGUGUCUACACAGGACCAAGUUUCUACAACGGUCUCAAUAUCCAGUACCUGGGCAUUGAGGUGGAUGAUUUCCCAGAUAUGGAUAUCUCCAAACACUUCCGCCCGGCUGCAGAGUUCCUUGACGAAGCACUGCUGACUUACAGGGGCAGAGUCCUGGUCAGCAGUGAAAUGGGCAUCAGUCGCUCCGCUGUGCUGGUGGCUGCCUACCUGAUGAUCUACCACCACAUGACUGUUUUGGAGGCUCUGAUGACUCUGAGGAAGAAACGAGCCAUUUACCCCAACGAUGGCUUUCUGAAACAGCUACGGGAGCUCAACGAGCAGCUGCUGGAAGAACGGGAGCUGGAGCAUUCUGGAGACGAAGAAGUGACUCCUAGUCAAAGUCCCGUUGCCCGUGCAGGGACUUCUUCCCGUUUGUCUGGAGCUGGGGAAGCAGAAAGCGUCGUGGGAGCCCAAGCCCACUCCAUCAUAGUAGAAGAGGAGGACACGAGCAGCAUGCUGGGUAGUUUUAUGAGCUCUUCAUCAGUAUCAAAAACCAGCUGGGUUUCCAAACACUCCACCCUGAUCAGUGAGGAGGAAGAGGAACAGUUGUAUGAGGAAUGGAGGAAGAAACAAGGCCUAUCUGCAAAGGAAUCGGGAGUUAACCAUGAAAGAAGAGCAUCUCCAAAGCAUCUGGAUCAGGAAGAGGAACAAUCUGAUGAGGAUGUGGAACAGAGGAUCCAUGACUGGCAGCGCAGAAAUGAGAAGUAUCAAAUGGAGGGUGCAGCCAGGGAGGAGGAUGGUGAUUCCAGCCUGGGAGGAAGACCUUACCCACCAGGUGAAUUCAGUGAUGUUGAGAGUGUGAGCAGUUUUGAGAUUCGAACCCUGAAAAAGCAGCUGGAAGCCAGCAGCUUUAGCAAGAUGAGGAGGAGUCGCACAGGUUCUGUGUCUUCUGAGAGCACCUGGGACAUGUGGAAUCAGAGGCUCCUGGAGAUAGAGAAAGAAGCUGCUCAGAGGUACCAUUCUAAGAAUAAAAACUGUGGGGAAAUGGGAAGAAAGGAGAGGGAUGUGGAUGAGGAGAGCGUGCUUUCAGACAGUAGCUCCUUCUACAAUUUCUGCCAAAAGAACAAAGACAAGUUGACUCCUCUAGAAAGGUGGAAGGUCAAGAGGAUCCAGUUUGGCUUUCACAAGAAGGAUUUAGAACCAUCAUCAUCAGCUGCACCAUCUCCAGCAGAAGAUGGCAACCAGGCAGGUGGGGAGGGAGCAGAAGGGAAGAGUUUGUCGGAUAUUGACCUGACUGCCUACCAGGCUUGGAAAAUGAAGCGCCAGAAGAAGGUGGGCAGUGAAAUCAGCAAGGAGGAGUUUGUGGAAUUUGCCAAAACUGAGGAUUCUGCUUCAGCUAAAAAGAAGCAGAGGCGUGUAGAGCUCCUUGAACGUUCAAAGAAAAUUUUGGAGGAAAGCCAGUCCAUGUGCAGCUGGGAGACAGACAGCACAGUGAGUGGGAGUAUCCCCCUGUCAGCUUUCUGGCCCUCGGCGCCUUCUGCAGAUGGUGCCAAUGAUGCAGCUUCUGCCCUGAGCAUGCAGACAAAUCAUUCGUCUUUAUCACGGACCAGGAGCAGCACAGGAGCAAUGCAGCCUCAGAUGCCAAGUGUACCCCUUCCCAAUCUCCCAGUUGGUCCAGGUGACACCAUAUCCAUGGCAAGCAUUCAGAACUGGAUCGCUAACGUGGUCAGUGAAACCAUUGCUCAGAAGCAAAAUGAGAUCAUGAUGCUGUCCCGUCCGUCGUCUGCGAUGGCCUUCCUGUCAGGAGACCCGGGCAGGCGAGGAGAUGAUGAUAAGGUUUCUCUGCUCAGUGCUCAGAGCGGCUCAUCUCUGGUUGCCUCUCAGCUGCACCAGCAGGAGCUGCGCCGAGCUGAGUCUCAGUCUGUCCUGUCCUGCAAUACCUCCGUGAGUGAAAGGACAGAAGAGACUGCUUCAAACAUGAAGACAACACAGACAAGCAAGCCACUCUACAGCCUCUUUGCUGAUGAUGUUGACCUCAAGAAACUCAGGAGGAAGGAGAAGGAGAUGCAAAUGGAAAUGAGAGAAAAAAUGUCAGAUUAUCAAAUUGAAAAAGUGAUCAGAGACAAUAAACGCAGCACUUUAUUUAAGAAAAAGGUGACGAAAGGAGAGGAAAAUGAAAGAGAAGAUGACAGAGAGAGUACAAGAAACAGCCAUGGCCGCACCUUGCAAGCAGAUUUUGACAGAACUGAUACAGUCUUCGAUCUGUCCAGUCAACCUGCAAACUCAGGUGCACAAGAGUCAGAAACAGAGACUGAUAUUACCAAGUGGCUCAAUGGUCUGAAAGCAGAGAGAGAACCACCACCUUACUAUGAACAAACUGAGAAAGCUAGAGAGAAAUAUAGCAGAUCAUCCAAAGUUAGACAGGUGGAUUCUGAGACAUCCAGUUACAGAUUCUCCAGAUCCCAAAGAGAAGAGCUAGACAGCUGUUCUUCCUACGAGUCAAAAGGAGAUUCACUGAGAACCACAUCAAGAUUUUCCUCUGCUUCUGCAAAAGAGGACAAAAAGAUGUAUAAGUUCACAAGGUCGAGGGUCAGUGAGACAAGUUCCAGAGAAAACAGCCCAGAGCUGCAUGUUUUCAGCCCAUCACCUAAGCCGCCAUUUGACUCUGAAUCCCCUGAACCAUCUACACAGAGCCGAGUCAGAUCCCAUCAUGUGGAGGCAUGUGAAGAGGAGUCCAGGUCAGACGUGUCAGAAUUUGGAGCAAAGAGAAAGUUCACCCAGAGCUUUUCAAAGUCUGAAGAGGACGGAAAGAAGGAGGCAAAAGUGGAGCAAAGUGAAGAAAGGUUUGCAUCUAGACAGUACUCUCAGUACAGGCGAAGCACACGUAAAGAGGAGGAAGAAGAGAUGGAUGAUGAUGCCAUUAUUGCUGCAUGGAGAAGCCGACUAGAAGAAACUACAGCAAAGCUCCAGCGGAGAAGGGAAGAGUGACCAAGAUCAGACUACAGGAACACAAGCAGAGCCAGAGUCCCUGAAUCACUCACUCAUCAUUAUAUUUUUGAUAAUCCUUUGUGGUUUGUAGGGCAUUUCCUGCAGGUAGUUCUCUUCUUAAUCAAAAGCGAUAAAGGGAUGAGGUCAAGUUCUGCAAGUGUUUGUGGCUUGUCAGAAAGAAGAUGCUAGAAUUAAAUGAUCAAUGUAGGGAGGAACACAGUGUUAGAAGCCAUUAGGAACCAGACAAUGUUUCAGCAGUAAAAGCAAGUAACGGUGGCACCUCAAGUCAAAAGACCAAUCACAUCCCAUUUUGGUUAUUUCAAUUUCCUAGUGUUAAAAACUGGACAUAUUUUUUUCUAGGAUCUUUUUGAUCAUAAGUGGAAGAAGCCAACAGCCUUUUCUAGGAACUUGAAGAAUGUUUGUCUCUUAAUCAGUUUUACUUUAUACCACUGAGAAGAUAUUACCAAGUAGGCUCCAUUUUCUUCACCAGCCUUACGAAUGUCUACAGAAAUAAGACAGUUUGGGGAAAUACAUGUUCUAUUUUACUAUGCUAAGUAGCAGAAGCAAAGUAAAAUACUAGGAAAAAGAAGAUGCCUCCUUUUUUAGAAGUUUAAUGCAGUAAUGAAUGUAUUCCUGUGGUAUCAUUUUUUCUGUUUUCUAUUAGAUGGAAUCAUCUCUGUUCCAUUAUGGUUGGUUCCCGCUAAUAACUUUGGGUCAACAAAGAACAAAUGCAGUAAUAUUAACAGCCAUCUAAAAAUCAUGUUUUGACAUAGUAAAAGAGAUGAGGUUAGGACUAGGAUUAGUGUUAGGUUAGGCUGGGUUUCUCAGUAUUGAUUUCACUUUGGUUUAUGUAUGCAGUUCAGCUAAGUCCGUGCUUUUGUGUUCAUAGUCAGAUUGUCAUGUAUUAAUUUUCAACAUGAUUGCCUUAAAACAGAAGAGUGGUACACAAACUGACCUCGUAAUAAAAUUGUGUAUAACUGGAGCGUGGGUAUAAGGCACGUUGCACCAAGUGUGUGUCUGUGAGGGUGGCAGCUGGAGGCUCAAUUUAAGAGAUGGUAGGUUUGGUUGACAUGUUCAGUUAACGUGUCUCCUGAGCCACAGGGUGUGCUUUUCAGAGGGAGAGAAGGAAGCACAGUCUCCAUCUUAACUGAGUGCACCAGGUUAGGACCUCAGGUCCUUCCAUGCCCUGCAGAGCCUGGUGAGCUUGUGUGAUCCACCAGACCUGCCACAACAUCCCCUGUGUGGCUUGUGUGACAACGUAUUUUCGACGCACCAAAGCACCCAACUCUCUGUCACCAGUCAACAUCCUCCACCUCUCUCUUGUAAACACAUCGGCCAGUUUCUACUGACUUUGACUCUGGAAUUAUCUGUUCCCUCCUCUGUACAGACUGUAUUUUGAAACAACAAAGCCCUCUGGCAGAGCUGAAUAUAAAACAACAAUGGAGGGAUGAUGCAGUAGUGCUCUCUCACAGGAAGUUUUUCUUUUUCUUGUAAUCUCCUCUCCCUCCCACUGUGAUGCUUAGAGCUCACUAUUACUAUUAUGCUAGUCCCUCUCCCUAUUUUAAUUGUGUAAUACAGACAGCAAGCUCCACAGGGCAAGGGCCUGCUCUUUGUCCCUGUCUGUGUGAUGCUACGCACAUCAGCAAAGCUAUCUAAAUAAUGGUUACUGAUAACAAAAUGCAGCUGGCAAUUUUCCUAAACUUAGAAUCAUCUCUCUCAAAUAUAACUCACUGAUUAGACAUUAUCCCUGCUUCUCUGAAGAUAAAGAUGAUUCUUUCUGACAGCCAGGACUGGGGUAAAUGAUAGCUACUUAUUGUCAGGUAAAUGGAGCCUCAAAAUCAGGUGAUUGAACAGUAACAGUUGUAGAAAAAUAAGAGAAAGAACAUAUUUUAGUUGUGUGGAUUGCAUUUUUGGUCCUUUUUUUUUUUUUUUUUAGUAAACUCAGAUUACAUUUUGAAGUGCAUAAGAGGCAUGGUCUUGUUAAUGUUUCAGGCGUGCAGAGAUGCUCUGAGGUUUAUAAUGCGCUUCUACUACAAUAUAAUAUAUAAUACAAUGCAUCCCUUGUUUCUGCAGACCUCUGUGAGUUGUUAUUUUUUAAAGUAGUGGAAUUCCUGGCCUUGAUCCACAUUCUGAGAUUUUAUAUUAAAUUUCUGCAAUUUGUAUUAAGACAGGCAUUUUCCUCUUCAUCCCUGGUAAAGUUGCUCUGUGGAAAACAGCUCUGCAUAGACAUAUUUGGAGCUUGCUUUCAUUUCAGUCUAGAAAAGGUCUUAAAUUUCGAUGGAUCAAAGUGGAAGUGUGCAAUACCUUCUGGCACUGAAUUUACUUUUUUAUCAAAGGCUGAUUCCCUCUGAAAAAUCCCUCUCCCUCUCCCUGUGCCUGGCUGUUCCCAGCAGACAAGCCUGUCCUCUGCAGGACUGUAGGGGGCAUCUCGCACUGUAAAAGACGAGUAGUAGAUGAUAUAGUAAUUGGUUUCAUUUUGCACUGUACAGCACGGCCUUUGUUUGGGCAGCAUUUUGAUUUAAACACUAAUCUAGGUCUGCUGCACAAAUAAAUUAUUCAAGACCGAGGGGCAGAAUACUGUUCUAUAACAAGUCUGAGCCAAACUGUCCUGAUAGCGAGUUUUGACCCUUGUGAGAAAGGGUUAAGUGGGUUCUGCUGACUCAUUGAGGUAGGUGGCUUAUUAGUUCACUUGUGUAAAAGGGAGAUAAAAAUGGUUUGCUGGGGAGAGGCCAUCUAAGAUGCUGGCUGAGCAGUCAUGAGGGAGAAGCCUUAGAAAUAGCUGAACUUUAUUUUCUUAUUGCUUAUAUCCUUGUUAAUAAAGCCAAACCCCCAAAGCAAUAAGGGGGUGGGGAUCAUUUUGGACUCCAUGCAGUAUAUGGCCAGUGCUUGAAAGCAAGAUGGGAAAGGCUUCAGCUCACAGGUAUAAAUUACAUGAAACAGUGACAUAAAGACCUUGCAUGGUGAAAAUAUUAAAGCAUUCAGUCAUAAGACCAAUAACCAGGAGAGACAGAAAUGGAGAGGUUGAAGGCAGGCUAGAAAGUCAGGUUUUAAGAUGAGAAUUUAGAAGGAGAUAAGGAAUUGCAGAAAGGGGAGAGGUCUGCACAGAUUGUUUCAGGUGACCGGAGCUGCAGAGUGAAUGGUUUUUCAGCAAUGACACCAGUCUGACACUGGAUUAAAAGAGUAAAUAAGCACCCAAAUUUAUCUAGGAGGGAUUUUUCAGCAAAGAUGCACUGGGACUGAUAUUUUUGCUCAGACUCAAUUUGCUGCUAUAGGAAGGAAGGUGUUUUUUAGCAUUGUAUAGUGGAAGGUGAAAGUGCAAAGAGCAUCCAUACGGUCAGUUAAGAAUAUAAACACAGGAACAUCAGAAAGGUUGUAUGGGGUCAGACCAGAGGUCCACCUGGCUCAAUAUCCUGUCUCUGACAGAGAACAACAGCGAAUACCUAGAGAAGAAUAUAAGAGCAGUGAUAUAAGUGAUAUUUCCUCAGCACGAUCUUCUAGCUUCCAAUAAUUUGCAACUCAAGGACUUCCUGAGCCAGGUGUGAUAUUCUUGUUUUUAAUAGCCCUUAAUAGGUUUUCCUUGUAUGGAGGUGCCUAGUAAUUUUUGAGUUAUAGCCAUAAUAGCCUUGUACCCACUGUCCUCUAUAAUCUCCUGUGGCAAGAAGUCCCACAAGUUACUCUACAAUAUAGUAUCUGUGUAUAGAUAUAUAUGCUCUACAGUAUAGUAUCUCAUGUGCCAUGAGACUUCACCUCCCUCUGUCAUUAUAUCCCAUCCUUAGCUCUCUGGUUUUCAGCCAGAGUUACUCAUUCCUCAUGUAGGGGCUGCUCCAUGUCUCUAAUUAUCCUGGCCAUUUCUUCUUUGUCGUGCUUGAGAUGAGGGACCAAAUCGUCACGCAGUAUCCAGGGUGCAGGUGUGGGAGGGAUUUAUCCUAGGGCAUAAUGACUGUCUUUUUUCUGUUCUCUGUUCCUUUCCUAUUAACUUCUAACGGUUUGCACAUUUCUUGGGCAGUUGCUGAGCACCAGAGUGAUGUUUUCAUAGAACUAUUUAUUAUAUACACAAAAUCUUGUGUAUAUAAUAAAUAUGGCAAUGGUCAGCUCUGAGAUCAUAAUUUUUUAUGUUAGGUUUUCUUGCAUGUAAUGCCUUACAUUUAUGAGCCCUGAAUUUCAUCUGCCAUCUUAGUGCUCAGUCUCAUUAAGUGCUUCUGCGUUUUCCCACAGCCGUCCUCUUAUUUCCACGACUCUGUUUCCUUAAUGUCCUUUGAAAGGUGUAGAAAUUCAGAGUAUGUGGGAAAGUAAAGAAGUUAAGGAGGGAUAGAUGAGAGAGAAACCCAUUUGAUGCUGGUCUGCUUGAAGCAAGAAGUAAGAAAGCAAGAAAUAAGAAAGCUGGAAAGCACGGAGGUAAAUGUUCAAAAAGAGAUCUGAAGACAACAGGCAAAUUAAGAAGGGGACCUACACUGGACAGAGUCAGGGAGAUAUGUAUGUAAGCCAGAGAGGCUAACGCAAAAUAUUAAUUUGUUUAGAUGUAUAAAAAUCUGGGGAAAGGUUAUGGGGCAACCUCUGUGGGAAGAAUGGAGAUUUAAAGAAAUUACAGGUCUGUGAGAAAUGUGAAGAGGACUGGGAGAAAUGGAAAGGGUGAGAGACAUUAGUGGGACACAGAUGAUAAAAUGACAUCUGUGCUGGACUGGGACUUCAGUGUGGCAGGAGCAAGUUUGGAAGGAAGCGGAAAUCUGCCAGAAAUACAUUAUUCCUCGAGUAACAACUGCAUUCUGUGUCCUAAUACUGAUAGGUGUGGGGCUGUGGCCCAUGUCCCCCAUCCAGGAAUUCCAGGGCAAUGUGAUUUAUUGCAUGCAGCACCAGCUUAGACGGGGUAGUUUGAAAAGGAGUCUAGCACAAUUUCCUUCCUUUACAGCUCCUUGAGAAAUGGUUCUGCAUUAGCUGUGGUGGAGAGCCAGGUGAUUGAUGAGACAAAAAGUUUUAUUUGGGGGUGCUUUUGUUGCAUUGCCUGCCCUUCUUUAAACAGUUUAACUGGGGUACGUUCAACAUAGACAUUGUAAUGUGAAAACACAAUAUCAUGACCUCCCUAAAUUUAUAGACUGAGAUACUGAAAGCAUGUGAUUAAUAUAGUUGAGGGGCCUGGAAACACACACAGCAUGCUCUUGUACUCCAGCAAAAUCUCUCUGAGUGCUACCUACCUAUUCUCUGGAAUUUCUCUUGUCAUUUAGAAAAAUGAAAGUGGGUCAAAUCUCUCUCUGUUCUAAUUGUGAAGAAAACUUCCAAAAUAGGAACUAUGUGUAACAAAUAAACAGUUCUCUGGAGAGGUGGGAGCGUAGUUCUAAGUGGUGGGUGAAUUGCCCCAGUCAUCUCUGCAAGGUGCUGACUUAUUUGCCCAGGAGUAGUAGUUUAAAUGCCAAUAAUAUUUGUUACGUUGUUCUUCAUGUAAAAAAUUGAGAAAGGUUCAAAGUACACGUAAUUAGAUUGUGUAUUGCCAAUACCAGCAGAAUCUGCUUGAAUGAACACCCUUGUCAUUUUGGCUAUGCCUAGGAACAGAAAUUUUUUGGACAUGAAAGCAUUGAAGAAUCUUACCUUUUUUUUGUUAUUUGUUACAUUUAAACAUAUUCAGGAGCUGAUUUCAUGUUGCUUUCAUCUAUGUAUCUAUGCAUCUAUGUAUGUAUGUAUGUAUGUAUGUAUGUAUCUAUGUAUCUAUGUAUCUAUCUAUCUAUCUAUCUAUCUAUCUAUCUAUCUAUCUAUCUAUCCCCUGUUACAACCUCUCAGUGGCUUCUGAGCUUGGUGUUUUCCUGUGACUGCUGUUCCCUUGCCACAGGGUGCACACACAGACACACACACACAAACAGACAUAAAGGAAAAACAUUGCUUGUGACUUAUAAAAGCAGGCAACAAAAUGAGUUCAGUCCUUCCCAGGACUAUCCAGGUGUGGCGAUGUGAAAACUGUCUUAGAGAGCAGGAGAAGGGACAUCCUGUCUGUGCUUUGAACCUUCCCCUCUGGAUUUCAUUUCAUUUUUAUUUGCAUGUAUCUUUAAAACAGACAAAUUUAAUCCUUACACAAGAGCUUCCAUAUCUGAUUCAUACCUGCAGGCAGACUGGUUUUCUUUUAAUUAAGAUAUGUAUUCCCUGGAAGACACGAGUGUAAUGGAAAACUAGCUUCAUUUUUAACUAAGAAGAGAACAAUGUCUCUACAUAAUCAAUCAAUCAAUCAAUCUCUUAUUUUUUCCAGUGCACCCUUCAUGCCAACAUGCCUGAAUGCCUUAUGGUCAUUAAAUUAAAUCAAAGAACACACCACAGAAUGGACAAGGCCAGAUCAAUAAAUCUUAAAACUGAUUCAAACUUACCAAGGACUCUGCACAAGUAACCACGAAAGGAAGGAUGACUUCAGUCAGAAGGGCAUUUGUGUGGGCAUAAAACUGAAUGAAGGCACAGGCGAUACUAAUUAGAAGACAGAAACAUUUAAAGGAGCUGGUCAUUUUUAUAGCAUCACCCAGCCACCAACAGCAUCAACCUGCAGCCUAAUGUCUUAAGGGUAUUUUUGGACUUCUGAGUGAUACACAAAAAUGGUGGCAAGAACUUUUUGCAGCUGGCUAGAAAUCUGUACAGCUCCAGGUCAUGUCCUGCCACAAACGUGCCUAAUUUUAGCGAUUUACCUAUUUGUGACCUCCCCAUAUGAUUACUGCAGGGCACCAGAUUAAAGAAGGAUGCAAUGCACACCAGCUGGCAUGAACCAUUGUGUGACUGUUCCAUCAUCAUGGACCAUCCCAGCAAUUUGAUCUUUGCAGUGACUCCAUACUGAACUUGGAUCCAGUCGAAAGCCAUCCAUUAGUUUGGCAGAACAUUUCUCCCUCCUUGCUGGAGAGGAGAGCUUUAUGAAACUGCAAUAGCCUUUAUGAAACUGCCAAUUAAUGGGGAGCUUUGUACAUUUUGCUCACAGAAAUAUCUCAGCAGCUGUCAUAACCUAUGAAGGUUCAUUCCUAAAGCACGUAAAAUGACCACAGGCCUAACGACAUUCAAAACUAAAUGCAAACCCCAGUUCUUCAACUUAAACUUCCCUCCCUCAAUAAUUUUGCAAGGCAUGUACUCCGUAGUCUGUGAAUUGGAUCAAAAGUAUUGCCUAGAGGCAAAGGGUCAGAGGAGAUUCCACAUAUGAAAAACAGGAGGCCCUCAAAAGGGUGCAACCUCAGUUGCUGAACAGACACCACAAAUAGGAUGGAUAAAAGCCCACAUGAGACUGGUAUAUGAGCAAGCAGAAGCUGACAGUUGCCCCUCAGGAAUACGGUAUAAAGCUUUCAGUUCUGCAGGAGACGUGAUCUGAAAGUUUGCUUCCUGGGAGCAAUCACACCUGAACUGUUGCAUGGUGCUGCAGUUGCAUAAUUUAAUAGUUGUCAUGUUUCACCCCAGGGUGAGUGUUCUUGGUGGAAGUGUACAUAAAAAAUUUGUCCGUCAUUAGGGAUAAAAGGGUCUAUGCAAGAAGAGGUCAGACAUUAUCCUCAUGACCAGCAGAAGAGGUCCAUAUUAAAACAAAGGAGGUGUUUGAUUUUCUUUUGAACGUGGGCAGAUGAUUCAGACCCACGUGCCCUUCAUACGCUCUGUCUCUCCCCUUCCCAUCUCCUUUCUUUUGAAACAGAUUUAAGUCCAUCUACUUUUAUAUUUUCAAACAAAACCCAUAAAAGGGCCAUAAAUAUCAUGACUCGCUAAAAUGAAAGCUGUUUUCUUCUUCUCCCAGGAGACUCCUGCCUGAGAGAGAGACAGAAAGAGUUCACCCCUUUGAAAAUUUCCUCCUCUGUCGAAGUAAAGCUCGUAUCUAAAAGCAGCCUUCAAGGCUUUGUUCUUAUCAUCUUGACCUGGCUUUGUACUGGUUUCUCUCUGUAUUGCCUGUGGAAGUGUGAAGGACGGGGCUAGGGGAAGGAGUUUUGGCUAUCACUGGCAGAGCAAGGGUCAUGCUUGGAAAGGGAUUUCAUUGUGGUUUCAGAAAAUGUUAUAAACUCAGCACACUGGCAGAAAGAAUGAAGAAAUUCAUUCCCCUCCUGGAUCAGACCGGUGAUCCACCCCUUCUGUCUCUGAUGUUGGCCAGAACCAGAUGCAUCUCAGAAGGUAUAAAAGAAGUUUAAGUGGGUAAUUAUGGAAUAACCUGCCCUGAGUAAAAUUUUCUCCCCUUCUGGCCCAAAGCCCUCCUUCAUCUCUCUCCUUGGUUAGAGUUCAACUCUAUGCCCUGGAGCAUGAUGGCUUCUCUCCCUUCCAAACCGCUUUUCAUCCUGGCCUGUCUCAUGUAACUGCCUGUGACAGUGAUGGGAUGUAUAGGUCUUGUCCAUUGAGAAUCUGUGACAGAUCACAGCCUUAUUGGAAAGAGAGGCAGAGAGGCCAAAGAGAAGGUGAGGGAGGAGAGCAUAAACUCAGAUGAAAUAUCCAUCAGGAAGAUGGAAAGAAGAGUGAAUGCCUGGGAAACUAAUUGCUGCCUGCUGAUCUGGGCUGUGGAGAUAGCUUGCAAGUGAGCAUUUUUGCUUUUCAGAGAUUUCAGCCUGGAGCACACUAGGAAAGUCAACUCUUGGUUGAAACUCCUGUUCAUCAAUACUUCCUCUUAUGUUUUGGGGUUUUUUUAAAGCUGUAGAAGUAUGAGAGUAGUCCUGAGAAAACUAUUCUAUUAUCUACUGAGGGAGCUUUUUCUUCCAUGGAAGUUCACUACUCAUUUCUGAAAAGGUAUUGGCAUAAUUUGGGCCUACUAAGACACUGCACACUGAUGAAAGUCAGGCUGUUUUUCUACUGCCCAAAAAGGGUUUAGGAACCCAAAGUCAGAUAUUCCUGUCUAAGUCCCUGUCCAGGUCUUACAGCAAUGGCUGCUCAUACUCCCAAGUCGAGCACAGAGCGUAUCCAAAAGUGUUUGUGGAGGUUACAGCUUUUGUGGGUUGGUUUGGUCAUUGGAUAGGGCAUAUCAGCAUUUGUGUGGCAGAGUGCCAGAUGCCCCAAGGUGAGGGUUAGAAUUGUCCGACACAGUUAGACUUUUUAGACGUCGUCAGCAUUCUCUCUGGUGACUUUACCACAGAAAGCAUUAACAAAGUUCCAGGGAAUUCUUAGUGUACUUUCUAGAUGGAUACUUCCAGUAAUAUGCAGGUUGAACAGCAGCUUUUAUUUUCCAGGAGCUCAGCAAUUCCUAGGGAGAGGGAAAGAAGAGCUAGGUGUUGGAUCAUAUCCAGGUCUCAGUAAUCAUUAAUUUCAUUCCCACAGUAUCCACAGUUUCCCAUGUUCCUUUCCCUCAAAAGUGUGACAAAGUGAUCUAGAGUCUUCCAAGUGAUGGGUGCUGAAAUCUCACCCGAUCUCCCGGAUAACACACAGAGGUGUUCAGAGCAUCCUGCUGGUGUUGGCCAAGCACAGGAGAUUGUUCAUUAAGAGAAAUGACUGUAUCAUUUAUACUGAGAACAGCUGCAGUGAGCAGCUCAGUGGCAGUGUUCAAGGCUCUGUAAUCUCCUUUUAGUUGCCACUUGCCAUUAGAUUUUUUAACUGGCCAUAAAGGAGAAUUGUAGGGGAAAUGAGACGUGACAAUGAUUCGCUGUUCUUCCAGCUCCUUUAUCAAUUCAGUAACAGGACAAAUAGCUCCAGAAGGUAAUGGGUAUUGUGGAAUAUUAACUAUCUUGCUAUGGGGUAAAGGAGCAGCUGUUUGCAACAGAUUAGCAGUAAGAGAUGUUUUUGUAGGAGGUAAACUCUGGGGCAGAAAGGGUGGUGUCCCUAUAUCCCAUUUUCCCCACGACUGACCCUUCAAUAUAUCCAUACCCAAUAUAAGGGCACUUAAAAGUAAGGUCAGGUGGAUUGCCUGUCCCUCAGACAGAAUUAGUUUAGCCCUGACCAGUGGGCGGUUAGUGGGUUUCCCAUUAACUCCUGCAAUAGAGACAAACUGCUUGCUGCCCUUUGUAAGUGUCCUUACCUCCCAUCAAUAUCUGGGCUCCUGUGUCAAUGAGGAAUGUUCUAAAGUAGGAAUGGAUCAUUAACUGUGACCAGGAUCCUCAGCAGUGGGAGUAGCACCCCACCCUGGUUUCCUGCAUAUCCAUAGUCUAGGUUUAGUACUGAUAGUUUGGGUAUAUCCCUGAGCCCACAGCCCUUGCAUGCUCUGACUCUCUAGUUAUUAUCCUUUCAAAUCAUACGGUGUCAUCCCAUCUCCAAACACAGGUCCCAGAGGGUUGUCAUGAGAAGUAAAUGAGGAAAACCUGUCCAGCUGCCACAAAAGGGAAGUUGCCAGCUCAAAGACAGCUGCUUCUCUAAACACAUUUUCCAUUGUCUUUUAUGCUCAGUAGUAACUGAUGGUGUUUCUCAACUUAACCCUUUUUCUCUUCUACAUUUACUUUAGCUGAGGUUCUCCCUUGGUUUUUAUCCUCUGGGAUGUACAGUGGUAAAUCUGCUAGCCUACACUGAAGGACCUCUUGGAAACUAAUACCAUUUAAGCCUGUCUUAGUGGCUAACACGAAAGAUUUCCAUACCACCUCAACUCCCAUUAUUAUGUGUCAGAAGUGUACAGAGUCCCAAAUCAUCUCCCAGGAUUGCAGUUCUGCUGGAAGGGGUUGUCCAGCCCCUGGAGCAAGGUGUGCUGGUCCUUCUAAUUCAGUUGAAAUCACAGAUUUCAGCAGGGCACUCUGUAGACUGGCUGCCAAGGCCUGGGGCCACACGUUUUUCCUGACAUGGGCAGUGCACAAAGUGCAAGUCCAUGAGGGACUGGUAAUAUUUGGCCCCAUGGUAUCCAACAGUAUUCCUGGGUCUAAUGCCAAUGAUCAGGCCUCAGCUGGGGCAAGGUGAAGCUCAUUGGGUCUGACUAUCCAGAUCCAUGGUAGCCCAUUCACAGGUGUUUUCCCUGGUUUAGCUUGACAUCUCUCCCUCAGACCUCCUAACCUGCGGGCAGUAAACCCUCCCGUAGUUCCUGUGGAGGGAGGUGAGUUUUGCACCCCUGUGGGAGUGCUGUGUUCAGUCUUGGUUAGUGGUGCUGAGAGCAGGGGGCAGGGAAUCAUCAUCACCUGGCUUUGAGGGGAGGGGAUGCAGAUCUGCUUGUUUCCAGACGUCCCUCUCCCAAUCAGCAUUGCACGUGGCACAAUAGUCUUUAACUGGGUCUACUGCAGGAGCUUCCAACAGCCUCCUCCUGCACUCCUCAGCUUCAGCAAUUGUCUGGGGCUGAAGUUGGACUCAGGUGGUCUAUUUUGCAUUUCUAACUGCUUACGCUUCCCAGGUAUUCUUUCCAUUUUCCUUUUAUUGUUUUCCUUUUUCAAGUGUACAUUUUCCCCUUUCAACUCAUCAGUCACAUCCUCUGCUGCCCUCUGACAACUGCCUAGUAGCCAGCACAGAGCACCUUCCCCUUCUCCCUUCUUUAACUUACAAGAAAACUGCCAUCUAGCAAACUCCUACCAAAUAUAAUCAGCAUCUGUGCAGUGGCUCUUGACGGCAGGACAAAUCCUGCUUGGGAUUUUGCCAUUCCUCUUUCUCAAAUUCUUCUCCCAGUUGUUGCCACUCAGUGUCUGGUUUCUCGUGGCACAGACAAACAGACACACAGAGACAGUAUCUUUACACUCACAUCAAACCAGCUGCUUCAGCAGGUGUGGCAAAGCACCUUGUGGUUGCCAGCAGAGCAUGUCCUGGGGAGAUCCCACUUGUGGCACCAAUAAAAUGUCACAGUCUGUUUGGGUAUCUCAGUUUUACAAGGAACUGCCAGACAAAAGGUGACAGCUGCAGGAGGUAGCACUUUGCAGGUGACCAUGGCUGCAUAAAGGCCCUUUAGCUCUUCCUGGUUGCCUGUCCUGCCUACCUGGUGCUCUAGCUCUGACCUUAUGACACUGCUUCCAGCACACAUCAGGCCUCAGUACGAGCUGGGUUAGCCAAAACCUAAGCAGGAGUUGAGUGAACAGUCACAGAAAGGCCAGGGUCUCAGACAAACAAACAAACAAACAAGUUAUUAUUUAUCAGUGAUAGAAGUUGGGGUAACCAUUUUAAAAUGGAAGAGGCAUUUUAAAAUGGAAGAGGGUAGAUUUACUUUAGGUAUUAGGAAGGAAUUCUGUGAGGGUGGUGAGGCCCUGGAACAGAUUGCGCAGAGAGGUUGUGGAUUCCCUGUCACUGGAAGUGUUCAAGUUCAGGCUGGAUGGGGCUCUGAGCAACCUGGUCUCGUGGAAGGUGUCCUUUUCCAUGGCGGGGGGUUUGAAACCAGAUGAUGUUUAUGGUCCUUUUCAACUCAAACCAUUCUGUGAUUCUAUAACAACUGUUUUCUUCUAAUGCAAUUACACAGUGCCACUGCCUCAUAUGUAUGGAGUGAAAAGAAUAUUAUUUCACUGAACUGACCUGGUACAUGUGUCUACAGCUUUGUCUGAUGAUGGUUACACACUAAAAUAAUACCUCAUCUCUGUGGCAAAUCUCUCUUCUGUCCACAAUUAAGUCCACUUUAUAAUUCCAUUUUUUGGCCAUGUUUACAACAAUAUAGCUAUUGCAAGUGUGUAGAAAAUGCAAAUAACUUGCCUAUUACCUUCCUAGUCACCUUUCUCCUUGUCACUCCCUCAGUUAUGAAUGCCUUGGAGAACAGAUCAUACUUGCUUAGUGCCUGAAAAUUCCUGAGCUUUUAGGGGGAGCUACAGUAAAUAAAAAAAGUGAUGUUGAACUCUAUUUUCACUGAAAUUAAAAAAGAAAGUCAUGUUAUAACCUGAUUUGGUGUGAUUAUACUGUAAAUAGGCCAUAAACAGUCAAAGGGAAAAUAGCCCAUAAUAUUCACACCAUUGAGAGACCUAGGUGGUAAUCACUGUUCCUCCCUGCUGUUCAAAAUAUUUUCCAAGUGUCCCCGAUACUGCAUUGGCAGCAGAAUGUGGCCCAAUUCAAGGGCUUUAAUGCUCCUGCUAAGUAGAAACGAUUUUUCUCCUCGAAAUUUUCAGUGAAAUAGUCUGUAUUUUGCAAAAAAAAAAAAAAAAAUCAUAGCUAUUCACUGCAAAAGCACUAAGAAAAAGGCAGAGACCAUCAGAAAUCUUUCUGACAAGUCAGUUCCAUGUUUUAAAAGAAAUUUGUCCAAUUAAGGAAAAAGUACAAACGUUGAAUUUCAAAAAUAGGCAUGUUCUAUCUGAAGAUGGCAGAGAAUUUCAGUGUUGCUUGCUGAAGCUAAUAGGGAGCAUAACCUCCACUUUAUACAUGGGGAAACAAGAAGACAAAUUUACCUUCAACUCAAUUUUCCCCCUUUCCCCAAGAAUUGUUACACUUCCCGUGCCACACAAAGAACUGGCAUUUUAAACUGGGGGUGUAGCUUACUUUUAAGACCACAAACCUUCUUCACAAGCAGCAUGGCUACCUCUGCCUGUCACAGAGCUACGGAAGAGCAGGGAGAGGCAGGGAGAUGCUGUGCUUUUCCUGCCCUUUGUGGUGAGAACCUUUUUCACCUUAUAUCCAUGCUUACUCCACAUUUUCAAAUAUUUCCCCUUCAUGACCUAUUAGUUCUCAGCAUCCUUUUGGGCUCAGUGAUAAUAAGGAUAUAGUUGUUUACUGUUACUCCAUUAAUAUCCAGAGGCUUUGCUCAGCACCAGGACCCACUGCAGUGUGUCCUGCUUGCAGCACAAUUCUAGAUGUUCUCACCCUAAAAGACUUGCAAGUUAAACAAAUGAAACAGCCCCAGGCUGGGAGAAAGAAUUUGCAUCUGUCCAUGUAUUUGAGACCCAGAAACUGAGCCCGGCAUCAUACAUGGAUUCUGCAGCAGCAGAAGUCUGUGGAAAAUUUCAAAAUAUAGGGCUAAAUUCAUCUUGCUAACAAAGUCGUUCUCCAUGAGCAAUCACUCAGCCAUCUGUGGCACAAUUAAACACUCAGUGGCCUCCAGAGAGCACAAGCACGACUCUCUAAACUGGUGAUUAAGGCGUUUGCCUGUGAGGGGCAGACAUACCUUUCAGGCCUUUUUCCAGAGAGGGUGCAAUGUGAAAGAGUUAAGUGUUCAUCGGUGCAGGCUUUUUCCCUCCGGAGUCGUGGCUCUUGGCUGCUCACCUGCAAAGGUGUGCUGUGCCUUUCUGGCCCAAAGAAUACUCAAAUAAUCAAUUCCAAAGGAAAUAGUUGAUUUGAGACUCUUUAACAGAAUAAUCAACAGCACAGGAAAAGAGCCUGACACUUCCUUGGACCUAGAUUCAGGUUCUCUCAGCGAGUUGAAGCAUUGCCUUCUGAACAUUGAGGUACUGAGUUGAAAAAGGCCACUCUCUGAUUUUUGUCACCUGCUGCUUAUGGUCUCUGUCUUGUCUGUGGAUAAGGUUGGUGUAAGAACUGAAGGCAACUUCAGGUCUGUCAGCACAGGCUGGGGAGAAAUUCUUCACUGCAGUUUCAUGUUUAUCCAUUAUAAUCCAGUGUAAUUGCAAACUGUCCCUAAAAUAUGCUGCGCUGAAUUUUUAGGGCUUUCAUCAUCUUUUGGAUUUGGGUCACACUGAUGGUACAGGUGGCUUCAAAUAUAAAUACAGGCCAUCACAUGGAUGGGAUGUACAUUCCUGGCAAAACUGGCAGCUUUACUUAUGUUUUUCUGUGUGAGAAAUGAUUCAGAAACAAUCAGAUUGGUUCUGGCUUGGUGUGGCAGAUUGCACUCGAGCACGCGGCAGCCUCCCAGCCAGCGGGGAGCUGGGCUAAAUCACCCACUGGAAGUACAAGCCUGCUGUAGCAUUUAGCACUUCCUUGGCAUUUAACAGCAAAACCCAGCAGAACCACGGCUUCUUUUUUGCUUUCUCCUACUCCCUCUCCCAAGCCUCAAAAGGUAGCAAAUGCCUCUGGAGUAUCAAAGCUUCAAAUCCAGUGUAGCCUGGCUAUUAUUCCCUUCAGCCAUGAGCAUGGCAGUUACAGGGAUGGGAUGAAUGCUCCCCAUCUGGAUCUUUUAAAAUCUGUGUUUAUUAUUAAUUCUGUGGCUUUUUAACCUGACUCUCAGUUUGGAAAGCAGGCAACUGUCAACAUGGGGCAAUGCGAUGCCCUGUGCUUCUGCUGGACUUGCACCUGCCCACGCGUUUUCCCAGAUGAGGCCCCAGGAUUAUUGCAAACCAGUCCCGGGAAGAAAUGCUGCUCAAUUAGGCGAAAAGAAACUCGAAGGAAAAAAGGAGUAGAGCCAGCAAAUUGCUUGAGAUAACAAUCUCCCCCCACCCGUGUGUCUCUGUAACUAAGAGGAUUAGCUGAACUUUCUGUGUCACACCAAAACUGACAAUAAGCAACAGUGACUUCCCCCCGCUGGCACUUGUACCUUCACAUGUUUCAUUUUCUUGCCCACACUACUGCCUUGCCCCUUGCUGAUUGUAUGACAAACUUGGGGAUGAACAUGAUGGCUCUUUCCUUUCCUUUAAGAUUUAUGACUCAAAGCCAAAUAAAACCCAACUCAAGUUAUUACAUGCUCUGUUUCCUCCUAACAACAACUCACUUUUAACAGCGUAAGCUAACCAAGGAAACAUGGAAAUAUGGUCUCCUUGAUCUCACCUGAUCUAUCUGCUGUUAGAGACGCAAACAGCAGCCUCGGGUGUGCCAACAUGGGAGCAGGCACAAAGACAUCCCUUGGGAGCAGGACCAAACGUCUGGAAUAUAUAAAGCAUAAGAUCCAUCAAAAUUCAAAGUAACUGAGGUUCUGUGUAGAUACAGCACUGCCAGCAAGGAGUUGGAUGCUUAUUUCAAGUUAAGAUUUAUCAUUGCCUGGUAGGAGGACUACCCAGGGUACUCUUGCAGUGAAGGGAAAUAAACUUUGGUAAAGGACUUCUGUUGCCAAUUAUGGAAUCAGCCCGGUGUUCCUCUGACAAUGGUGUACACUUGAUGAAAAAUAUAUGGCUUGUGGCUGAAGGUGAUCAAACAUCAAAUAGUUCCAGCUUCUACAGUAAACCAAUCCCUUUUGCUGAGCUGUGUAGAACAUCACUUCAAACCAGGUGAACAACUUUCCUUGGGCCUGCCACAGAACUUGAAGGAAGAGAGGAAGUUUGUUCUACAAGACAAGGUAAAGGAGGAGCAUUUUCCCACCAACACAUGGUCCCUUUCCUUCUCCAUCCUGAGUUUCAACAGAAGACCUCAGCAGAAGGUGGUGGAAAUACAGAAGAUGAAUGUCUCUGAUACCUGAAGGGCUGCCCACAGGCACACUGACCAAGUAAACACCUGUGCCACAGUGAGGAGAG